AUGGCGCGAACUCCCAGGAGGGAUCCCAAGUAGCACGGGGCCCGAGAAAUCCCGUGCGAAUCUGGGGGGACCACCCCCUAAGCCUAAAUACUCCCUGGUGACCGAUAGCGGACUAGUACCGUGAGGGAAAGGUGAAAAGUACCCCGGGAGGGGAGUGAAAUAGUACCUGAAACCGUGUGCCUACAAUCCGUCAGAGCUGUUGCAUUCCUUUGGGGGUGUGGUGGUGAUGGCGUGCCUUUUGAAGAAUGAGCCUGCGAGUUAGUGGUGCGUGGCGAGGUUAACCCGUGUGGGGUAGCCGUAGCGAAAGCGAGUCUGAAUAGGGCGCUUUAGUCGCAUGCUCUAGACCCGAAGCGGAGUGAUCUAUCCAUGGGCAGGUUGAAGCGCGGGUAAGACCGCGUGGAGGACCGAACCCACCAGGGUUGAAAACCUGGGGGAUGAGCUGUGGGUAGGGGUGAAAGGCCAAUCAAACUCCGUGAUAGCUGGUUCUCCCCGAAAUGCAUUUAGGUGCAGCGUCACGUGUUUCUUACCGGAGGUAGAGCUACUGGAUAGCCAAUGGGCCUCACCAGGUUACUGACGUUAGCCAAACUCCGAAUGCCGGUAAGUGAGAGCGUGGCAGUGAGACUGCGGGGGAUAAGCUCCGUAGUCGAGAGGGAAACAGCCCAGACCAUCAGCUAAGGCCCCUAAGCGGUGACUAAGUGGAAAAGGAUGUGGAGUCGCAUUGACAACCAGGAGGUUGGCUUAGAAGCAGCCACCCUUGAAAGAGUGCGUAAUAGCUCACUGGUCAAGUGAUUCCGCGCCGACAAUGUAACGGGGCUCAAGCACGCCACCGAAGUUGUGGCAUUGACAUCAGUGGUAGGCCUUCGUGGUCCAGCCGUGUUGAUGGGUAGGAGAGCGUCGUGUGGCUAGUGAAGCGGCGGUGUGAACCAGCCGUGGACGCCACACGAGUGAGAAUGCAGGCAUGAGUAGCGAAAGACGGGUGAGAAACCCGUCCGCCGAAUGACCAAGGGUUCCAGGGCCAGGCUAAUCCGCCCUGGGUAAGUCGGGACCUAAGGCGAGGCCGACAGGCGUAGUCGAUGGACAACGGGUUGAUAUUCCCGUACCGGCAACGUGACGCCCAUGACGAACCCGGUGAUGCUAACCACCCGAAACCAUCAGUGACGUGCCCUUCGGGGUGACGAGCUGGUGGCGGAGCGUGGGACCCGAACCGGUAGUAGUCAAGCGAUGGGGUGACGCAGGAAGGCAGCCCAACCGUGGCGAUGGUUGUCCACGGGUAAGUGCGUAGGGUGAGACGUAGGCAAAUCCGCGUCUCGUAUGCCUGAGACACGAUACGGAGUCCGAACGGACGAAGUGGGUGAUCCUAUGCUGUCGAGAAAAACCUCUAGCGAGCUAUGCGCCGCCCGUACCCCAAACCGACACAGGUGAUCAGGUAGAGAAUACCAAGGCGAUCGAGUGAACCAUGGUUAAGGAACUCGGCAAAAUGCCCCCGUAACUUCGGGAGAAGGGGGGCCGGAAGCGUGUAGCUCAUUUCGAGCGAAGCGUUGAAGGCCGCAGAGACCAGGCCCAAGCGACUGUUUACUAAAAACACAGGUCCGUGCGAAGUCGCAAGACGAUGUAUACGGACUGACGCCUGCCCGGUGCUGGAAGGUUAAGAGGAACGGUUAGCGCAAGCGAAGCUGAGAAUUUAAGCCCCAGUAAACGGCGGUGGUAACUAUAACCAUCCUAAGGUAGCGAAAUUCCUUGUCGGGUAAGUUCCGACCUGCACGAAUGGCGUAACGACUUCCCCACUGUCUCAACCACAGGCCCGGCGAAAUUGCACUACGAGUAAAGAUGCUCGUUACGCGCAGCAGGACGGAAAGACCCCGGGACCUUUACUAUAGCUUGGUAUUGGUGUUCGGUACGGCUUGUGUAAGAUAGGUGGGAGACUGUGCAGCAUGCAAGGCAGUGGUUGUGGAGUCAACGGUGAAAUCCCACUUUUGUCGUCCUGGAUAUCUAACCUCGAUCCGUGAUCCGUAACAGUGACAGUGC
rnacentral:rRNA from 1 species